GACUUUGUAGCCUAGUGGCGUAUUGGGGGUAGGAUGAGACUUUAGGACCAAUAGGUCCUGGGUUCGAUUCCCACAACGGGGUUU
rnacentral:tRNA from 1 species